rnacentral:rRNA from 1 species
CAGCAGCCGCGGUAAUACGUAGGUGGCGAGCGUUGUCCGGAAUUAUUGGGCGUAAAGGGAGCGCAGGCGGACAUAUAAGUCCAUCUUAAAAGUGCGGGGCUCAACCCCGUGAGGGGAUGGAAACUGUAUGCCUUGAGUGCAGGAGAGGAAAGCGGAAUUCCCAGUGUAGCGGUGAAAUGCGUAGAUAUUGGGGGGAACACCAGUGGCGAAGGCGGCUUUCUGGACUGUAACUGACGCUGAGGCUCGAAAGCCAGGGGAGCGAACGGGAUUAGAUACCCCAGUAGUCCCUGUCUCUUAUACA